UACGUAGGUGGCAAGCGUUGUCCGGAAUUACUGGGUGUAAAGGGCGUGUAGGCGGGGAAAUAAGUCAGAUGUGAAAUUCCAGGGCUCAACCCUGGCGCUGCAUCUGAAACUAUAUCUCUUGAGUGCUGGAGAGGAAAGCGGAAUUCCUAGUGUAGCGGUGAAAUGCGUAGAUAUUAGGAGGAACACCAGUGGCGAAGGCGGCUUUCUGGACAGUAACUGACGCUGAGGCGCGAAAGCGUGGGGAGCAACCAGG
rnacentral:rRNA from 1 species